rnacentral:rRNA from 1 species
UGGUUAAAAAGCUCGUAGUUGGAUCUCGGCGGUCUGAGGGCGGUUCGCUUGCUUAAGCGCUACUGCCCUAUAGGCCGUAGUUUUGCCAGAGGCCUCGGGGUGCUCUUAACCGAGUGUCCUGCGGCGCUGGCGGGUUUACUUUGAAAAAAUUAGAGUGCUCAAAGCAGGCUUUUACGCCUGAAUAUUCGUGCAUGGAAUAAUAGAAUAGGAAGUCGUUUCUAUUUUGUUGGUUUUCGGAAAUCGACUUAAUGAUUAAUAGGGACAGUCGGGGCAUUUGUAUUCAAACGACAGAGGUGAAAUUCUUGGACCGUUUGAAGACAAACUACUGCGAAAGCAUUUGCCAAGAAUGUUUUCAUUAAUCAAGAACGAAAGUUAGAGGUUCGAAGGCGAUUAGAUACCGCCCUAGUUCUAACCAUAAACGAUGCCAGCUAGCGAUCUGCCGACGUUUUUUUUGUAGACUCGGCAGGAAGCUUCCGGGAAACCAAAGCAUUUGGGUUCCAGGGGAAGUAUGGUUGCAAAGCUGAAACUUAAAGGAAUUGACGGAAGGGCACCACCAGGAGUGGAGCCUGUGGCUUAAUUUGACUCAACACGGGAAAUCUCACCAGGCCCGGACACUGGAAGGAUUGACAGAUUGAUAGCUCUUUCU